GCUGAUGUGGCUCAGUCGGUAGAGCAAUUGAUUCGUAAUCAAUAGGUCGCCGGUUCAAGUCCGGCCAUCAGCUCCA
rnacentral:tRNA from 1 species